rnacentral:lncRNA from 1 species
CCAGAUAGACAAGACGCAUUGCGCUGCCUUGAGAGAAAAGACGCGCUGCGCUGAUAGACCAGAUGCGCUGCAUUCUUGAUGACCACUGCCUGUGCUGACCUCUUGAUGCUCCAAUUCUUCUCGAAGACUGCCGCCUGCGCUGACCUCUUGAUGCCGCCUGCGCUGACCUCUUGAUGCUGCCUGCGCUGACCUCUUGAUGCUUCAAUUCUGCUCGAAGACCGCCGUCUGCGCUGACCUCUUGACGCCACCUGCGCUGACCUCUUGAUGCUUCAAUUCCUCUCGAAGAUCGCCGUCUGCGCUGACCUCUUGAUGCCACCUGCGCUGACCUCUUGAUGCUUCAAUUCCUCUCGAAGAUCGCCGUCUGCGCUGACCUCCAAGGCCCUCGCCUGCGCUGCCCUCUUCAGCGUUGAGCUAAGAUCAAAGCCAAAUCAUAGCCAUCAGUCCAAACUUUGAGCCAACACCACAGCUAUAUCAAGCCCGAAACCAGAAGAAAACCAUAGCAACAUCAAGCUCAUAAACUCAGG